rnacentral:rRNA from 1 species
GGGGCGCGGGAAGUGAUGCAGGUCUUCGGAUCGUAAAACUCUGUUAUUAGGGAAGAACAUAUGUGUAAGUAACUGUGCACAUCUUGACGGUACCUAAUCAGAAAGCCACGGCUAACUACGUGCCAGCAGCCGCGGUAAUACGUAGGUGGCAAGCGUUAUCCGGAAUUAUUGGGCGUAAAGCGCGCGUAGGCGGUUUUUUAAGUCUGAUGUGAAAGCCCACGGCUCAACCGUGGAGGGUCAUUGGAAACUGGAAAACUUGAGUGCAGAAGAGGAAAGUGGAAUUCCAUGUGUAGCGGUGAAAUGCGCAGAGAUAUGGAGGAACCCCAGUGGCUGCAGACGA